CUCCCGCACGCCAGCUCUCGCGCACGCCGCUGCAGUCCGCGCCCGAUCCCUGUCCUCCUCCGAUCCGAUCUCGCCCGCCCAACGCGCUCCCCGCACGCCGCCGCCGCCGCCGCCGCCACAGUCCGCUCCCGAUCCCUGUCCUCCUCCGAUCCCCAGCUCCGCGCCGUCCCGACCGUCGUCCGCCGCGCCGUCCCCGCCCCCGCGCAGCCUGCCUCCUCCGUCCCGGCGCCCUGCCUCCUCCGCUGUCGCGCCAUGAUCUGCUCCGGCCCGAACUGCUCCGCCCAAACCUGCCCGGCCGCCUGCAACUCCAACCGCCGCGAACUGCUCCGUCCCGAUCUGCUCCACUCAAACCCGUCCGGUCGCCUGCAACUUCAUCAACCACGUCGCGAGGUCAUCCUCCCCCCCGCCGCAUCCCUAAGCCCUCUCCCACGACCCGACCCUGGUGCCCACGCCGCCCUCGCUGCGGUUCAGGGACCCGCCGCGGCAGGUGCAUGAGGCCGCCGCUGGGGUGCGAGUGCAGGAGGCCACCGCCGUCGCAGGUCUAGGGGCCGCCCGGACGCCGCAGCAGGUCCACGCAGUUACAAGAUAAAAUCUUAAAAUUGAUGCCGGCGGCAACGAAAUGAAGGUCAAGGGGGCAUGGGGGUGGCUACAGCGGGGCACGCGCCCCAUGAGAAGUUCGGGCACACCGUCCACUUCCUGAUCACCAUGUACUCCUACAUAGGUGAUCACCUUGCUGCACUACGCAGGGUGUUCGAUGGAAUUCCCCACCGGGAUGUAGGGGUGGUAAUGGGUCAUGGCCCUAAUGGCCUCUUCACAGUCCAAUAAAGCCCUUAAAAUUUUUAGUUCAAAAAUACAUAUGUUUAGAGCCCGGCCCUUUUAGGACCCGAUACUUAGAUUUUCUAGUUCAAAAUGUUGGGCCCUUUACCACCCCUACCGGGAUGUCUUCUCAUGGAACUCUAUGAUGAAGGCAUACAAGCGGGCAGGGAUGACGGCUGAGGUCGAAGGGAUGUUCCGGCCAGUUGAUGGUUUCAGAGGGUGUGGUGGCGCAAAACCGGGUGACAGUGGUAGUUGUGCUCACAUUGUGCAGUGAUGCCGGCAAUAUGGUUCUAGGGGUGUUCUCUUUUUCCUCCUCCAAUUGACAGGUAAAGUAGAGCUAUCUUAUUCUUAUUGCAGAUGUAUGCCUAGCACAUAUUAACGUACGGAUGAACCAACAAAUAAUUAGUUGCAUGUACAGCUUUUCUUUUCUUGUGCCUGCUUGAUUAACCAGCUUAAAACAAUAUGUUUUUCAAGAUUAUGAAGAUUGUAAAUGACUGAUGAUAAUUGUUGGGAUCUUAGCUUUUUAGAUGCCCAAACAAAGAGCGUGAACAGUACGAAAAUGACAAUGAAGGUAGGCAAUUCUCCAGUAAUAACCAGAAAAUUCAACCAUUUACACUGUGGAGAGAGGGGGCUAUUUAUACCCCUAGCCCUCGGCCAGAUUUCCCCAAAUUGCCCCCUUCCAACUCAUUUACAGCUCACAUACAGCCGGUUCCGAGGUAAAAUUACAAGGUGAGAGGUGUACAAAUCCGACCUUCUCACAUAUUCACAUUUUACACGCACGCCUACACCCGCCGAAGGGCUUCGAGUCCUUCGGGGUACUUCGGAGGUCGCACCCCUGAAUGCUCCGUCUUCAAGCGAUCAGCCGUCACCUUCGGCCGCCCGAAGAUGGGAUCCUUCGUUUGUCGGCGGCGAAGGUCUUGAUCUUUAAGCUUGUGCUUCUGAGUAGCCACUUGUCACCUCCGGCCUGCCGACGGUGCGAUCGACUGUCUCCUUCAGUCUCCCGAAGGUGACUCCUUCGAAGCUUCACAGGUUGCGGACCUCAGGCUUGUGCUCCUGAGUGUUCGACCCUCACCUUCGGUCCCGAAGGUGAGCUUCUCGGUCCCCGGUGUCUUUGUUGGCACCGAGCACCCUUCGUGCGCGCUUGUUACCCAACACCGGAGCCCUGCAGACAGGUUAGGAGAUGUUUUCGAGGCUGGGAUUAACCUCCGGGCACAUUCCCGACGGUCCAAUCCCCAACAAUAAUCAUGUUUUUUCUCUCCUAUUAUCGUAUUGAAAUUUUUGAAACCCAUGCAACGCACAGACCGUUGGUGGAACAAUUUUGCCAAGGUUUGAAUUUCACUGUCUGUAAGCUGAAAACUCAUCUAGCCUUUGUGCUAUAUUCAGCUGUCUUUGGUUUGCGGUUGUGUAAUUCAGAUGCACCUUUUUUUAUCUUCUUGGAUUAACGUGAGUAUUUUUACCUUUAUAACUGAACGCGUGAAUCAGUGAUAUACUGAAUCAUUCUGAACUGGAUAUUGUUAUUGCACACUUACAGAUUUGCGAUGGUGCAGUGCUCUGCUUUGUCCGUGAGCCAUUGCUUCUCCUAAGAUAUCCACUACAUGUAUAUGCUUAUAAAUAAUAUUUGUGCUUGGCAGAUCAGAGCUCAUGCAGUGGUUUGUCGCUCUACCGUUCGCCUCUGCAACAGGCUGGGCAAACACCCCAACUGUUGCGGUACUUGGGUGUAGUGACACAAACUUUAGUUUCUGCAAUAUGACCGAAUUGGAGAUGUAUGCCCUUGACUACAAGGUUACUUGAACAUGAUCAUAUAAGUUCACCUUAACAUAUGAUCAUAUAAGUUUACCUGUGGAUACAUGUGGAUCGUGAGAAGAAUAAUUUUGCUAACUUUGAAUGCAUAUGUAGUAGUUAAUAGCUAGGAAAAAAUUGUAGUUGUUGCAGUGUUUUAGAUCAUGUGGCCAAGUUCUGUUUAAAUUGCAUUGCUAUUUGCCAAGUGUGGUCAAGACGUCAAGUAUGAACAAAAAAUGCUUCCAGAAGAAAAUGACUGAAUCUUAACAUGAGUGUUUAAAGGGACCGUGAUUACCAUUGCCGAAUCUUAACAUGAGUAUUGUUUUGAACUUUUGAUAUUUAUAAAAGUGAUGCUUAGAAAAAAUCACUGAAUGAAGAGUACUAUAUCUUUUGUUUUUUUUCUAAUUCUAAAAUUUAUGUGAGGUUCCUGAUUAUAGUUCUCUGAACACGUGUGUUGGAGUAAAGUAGUAAUAUCUAUGAUUAUCUAUAGAGUAGGCAAUUCAUUGAGCUCAUACGAAGUACAACUGCACAAAGUAGUAAUAUCUAUAUUCGAGUUCAGAUCGCAAUUGGGUACAGCUCGCAAUAUUGGAUUAACAGCUUAAGUUGUGUAGGCACAUCUUUUGUUGACUUUUUUUUACUUGUGUUUCUCCUAGCAUUUGAUGUCUUAUGAUCUGUGUUCAGUCUGAUAGUGUUAAGUUUCAGAGUUGAUCAAAUCAAUUUCAAAGAUGAAUAAUACAUGGUGUGUGCAAAAUACUUUUAUUCAUAAAAUGCUAUCAUUUUCAGUAAAUAUUUGCAGCUGGCUCCUUAUUUUCUUCUUUGACAGAUUAUUGUUCGUUUUAUUUCUUGUAUCUAGUUCAGGAUCUAUUGAUCGCGAGGAGUGAAGCAGGAGAGCUGUCUAAUGUAGUAAGAGGGUAUCUUUUGUUUGCUGAUUUGUGAGUUCAUAUAAGAAAUUUUGUAAAGCGAUUUUGGUUUGUUUUCCUGAGCUAUGUUUGGACAAUAAUUUGAGCUGUGAUUUCAUAAAAGAGUUUACUUAUAUGCUAGAGAAAUAUAUGUAACUAGAAUAGAGUUUAAUUAAUUUAUGUUGA